GACGAACGCUGGCGGCGUGCUUAACACAUGCAAGUCGAACGCUGAAGCUUGGUGCUUGCACUGGGUGGAUGAGUGGCGAACGGGUGAGUAAUAAGUGAGUAACCUGCCCUUGACUGUGGGAUAAGCCUGGGAAACUGGGUCUAAUACUGGAUACGACAUGUCACCGCAUGGUGGUGUGUGGAAAGGGUUUUACUGGUUUUGGAUGGGCUCACGGCCUAUCAGCUUGUUGGUGGGGUAAUGGCUCACCAAGGCGACGACGGGUAGUCGGCCUGAGAGGGUGACCGGCCACACUGGGACUGAGACACGGCCCAGACUCCUACGGGAGGCAGCAGUGGGGAAUAUUGCACAAUGGGCGGAAGCCUGAUGCAGCGACGCCGCGUGAGGGAUGACGGCCUUCGGGUUGUAAACCUCUUUCAGCACGGAAGAAGCGAAAGUGACGGUACGUGCAGAAGAAGCGCCGGCUAACUACGUG
rnacentral:rRNA from 1 species